CCCAGACUGGUUUCUACAUCCGUCUUCUCCCUCGCAGAACCACGGCUCUGUUAGGGUUUACCGCUGAAAUUGAGAAAAACAGCAAACUUGAGGUGGAUAUACUUCCUUUUUUGGGUUUCUCCGUCUUAUCUUAGUCAGGGAUGGGUGAUGAUGCUUUUGAUGGCCCGGAAUUGGCAGAAAAGUUGUCCAAGCUUAACAGUUCAAAACAAAGCAUAGAAUCUUUAUCACGAUGGUGCAUUUCAUAUCGUAAGAAAGCCAAGCAGAUCGUUGAAACAUGGGAUAAAUCAUUCAGAUCUGCACAGCGGGAGCAACGUGUUUCGUUUCUGUACUUAGCCAAUGAUAUUAUCCAAAAUAGUCGGCGCAAGGGUAGUGAGUUUGUUAAUGAGUUCUGGAAGGUCCUUCCCGCGUCUCUGAAGAAGGUUAAUGAAAGUGGUGAUGGAAGUGUGAAGAAAGUGGCUUCUAGACUGGUUAAUAUAUGGGAAGAGAGAAAAGUAUUUGGAUCCAAGGGUCAGAAUCUUAAAGAUGAAGUGUUGGGCAAGAGUCCUGCUCCUUCAGAAAGCAAAGGGAAGAGCUCGAAUCCUAUCGAAGUUGUGAAGAAGGAUGCUCACUCAGUAAGGAUUAAAAUGGCUGUCGGCUGUACUCCAGAAAAAAUUGUAACAGCAUUCCAACUAGUUCAUGAUGAAAAUGUGAAUGAGGAAGAUGCUUUGAACAAGUGUAAACAUUCUGUUUUUUGCGUUGGGGAAAUGGAGAAUGAUAUUGAAAACCGUCAAGGAAACCUCCAGGGUUCUGAACUGAUGGAUAAAUUGCUAGAACAGGAAAAUAUACUUCAAGAAUGCAUCAGCCACUUUGAGAAUGCUGAAUCAUUGAGAAUUACCUUGAUUUCUCUCCUGAAAGAUGCACUUCAAGAUCAAGAAUCUAAGCUAGAGCUUUUACGCAGUGGGAUGCAGGUUGCGUGUGGUCAGAUUGAACUAGUAAAAAAUGCAAGGAGGAGGCUGACAUCUCCCAGUGUUGCUGCUCCACCAGUGAAUACUGGUAUCCUUCCAAUUGAAGUCACCAGAACGACUGAACCAACCCCGCCUUCAGUGCAAUUAAUCAACAUACCUCCUCUGCCUCCACCUCCCAAUCCCGUGACUUCCUUCACAAAUUCCAAAAGUAAUGAAGAGGAAAGUAAAAGUUCGGCAGCAGCAGCUGUUGCUGCAAAACUUGCUGCUUCAACAUCUUCUGCUCAAAUGUUAACCUCUGUUCUUUCAUCCCUUGUUGCUGAAGAAGCUGCAUCACUGAGCAGUGGAUUGAAAUCAACUGGCUUCACUUCUAGCUUGCCUUUUGCAUCCCCAGAGAAACGGCUCAAGUUAGAUAAGCCAAUGACUUUUUCUGAUAUGAACAGUUCUGAAAGGGGUAGCUCCACUUACUUUACUUCAUCUCAACAAUUGCUUACUAGCAUUCCUCUUGCCCCAUCCUCAGCCAUGCAAUCUGUGUCCCAGCCAAACCAGAUACAAGCUCCGCUUCCACCUCCUCCCCCUCCCCCUCCAUCAUUACAUCCAGCAAAUUCCCCUGCAAGUCAGUUAGUUCAAUCUACAGGUAUGAUGAUGGGGGUGAUGCCAUAUGGAUAUAGCGCUGGCCUUCAACAACCUGUGUCUUCUCAAAUUGCAAUGGGACUGAGGCCUCCUCCUCCACCACCCCAGCAAGCACAGCUACAAUCUCAGCAGCAGCCUGCCAACAGCGGAUUUUACCGUCCUUCUGGUAUUGGAUUCUAUGGACAGGCCCAUCAGCAGACAGCUCCAGCAGCACCGCGGCAGUAAACCCCUUUGGAAUAGGGAGUGCAUGUUACAUUGUACAUUAAUAGUAAAAGUAGACUAGAUCUAGUUACUGUUAAUGGUAUCUUUUCAUACUCUAUUUGCACCCGACAUCGCUGGUAAUACCCACCCCCUUGUUAUCACCAAGUUGCCUACCCUCUUUUCAUUUAGUGUCGGGUGCUUUGCAUCCAUUUAAGCGUACCUGUAACCUUAUGUAGGUGCUGUAAGAUUAACUGUAGAUUGGGCCAUGUACUUGAUAUCUUCAAAACCAGGAGCUGGAAAGAAG
rnacentral:misc_RNA from 1 species